rnacentral:tRNA from 1 species
GCCACGAUGGCAGAGCGGUCAACGCACCCGCCUGCAGAGCGGGUUCUCGUCGGUGAGAAAACCGCUCGCGGUUUUCGAGCCCUGGAAGACGAGCGCAGCGAGUCUUCCUUCGGUUCGAAUCCGACUCGUGGCU